UGUAGCGAGAUUUUCUGUUGUGCUUGAUCUAACCAUGUGGUUGCCAGGUAUGAGUAAAACAUGGUUCCGUCAAGCACCAUGGAACGUCACGCAGCU
rnacentral:pre_miRNA from 9 species